AGUGAACGCUGGCGGUAGGCCUAACACAUGCAAGUCGAACGGCAGCACAGGAGAGCUUGCUCUCUGGGUGGCGAGUGGCGGACGGGUGAGGAAUACAUCGGAAUCUACUCUGUCGUGGGGGAUAACGUAGGGAAACUUACGCUAAUACCGCAUACGACCUACGGGUGAAAGCAGGGGACCUACGGGCCUUGCGCGAUUGCAGGAUCCGAUGGCGGAUUAGCUAGUUGGCGGGGUAAAGGCCCACCAAGGCGACGAUCCGUAGCUGGGCUGAGAGGAUGAUCAGCCACACUGGAACUGAGACACGGUCCAGACUCCUACGGGAGGCAGCAGUGGGGAAUAUUGGACAAUGGGCGCAAGCCUGAUCCAGCCAUACCGCGUGGGUGAAGAAGGCCUUCGGGUUGUAAAGCCCUUUUGUUGGGAAAGAAAUCCAGCUGGCUAAUACCCGGUUGGGAUGACGGUACCCAAAGAAUAAGCACCGGCUAACUUCGUGCCAGCCGCCGCCGUAA
rnacentral:rRNA from 1 species